UAACCCAUUUUUGAUAAUUCAAUUCCAUCAAUUUACAUUUGGGGAAAUUGAAACUCAACUAUGGCUAUAAAUAGCCAUGUUCAUCUCCUCAAACCAUUCACUCAAACCACUUGAGUCUUCGCCGGAACCCACUAAACCUCGCCGGAAAAAGCCACCCAAAACUUCCCCAAAGCUUCUGUUUUUUUUUUACUUGCUCCUCUGUUUCGGGUCAGCCACCGCAGCCCCACCGCGGCGCCGCCGCAUUCCUGCGCCUUUUGUGCGCCACCACCACACCUAACCACCGUCUCCUUCUCUCUCCUCUCGCACGUACCUUCUUUCUCUUUCUUCUCUCUCGCGCCCCAUCUUCUCUCUCGUGUUUCGCUCUCUCUCCUCGUGCGCCGGCGGAGCCACGCCAGAACCGCCGGAAUCCCGCGCCCCAGCCACGCUGCCGUGCCGUUGCUGCCGGAGCUUCAGUCCACCGCCCCACCUCUCUUCCUCCCCUGUUUUCGUGACUGCUCAGUUGAGCAGGAGAUUAAACGGAAAGGAUAUUACAGCCUCCCCCGGCUCUCAAGUUAUUACGCAGGAACCGAGGUACUGAUGAAGAUGACGGGAUGGCGUAGAAGUGAGGAUGGCCAACUACUUUACAUUAUGAAAACUAUAUUGGUUAUGUAAUCUAAAUCUAUGAUCACUAGAACAUGAACUUAGUUUAACUAUAACUACGUAAUCAU